CCCCAUUUCACCAUUCUACAUAUUCUUUUGAAUUCUGGUUUUGCAUUUCGCCAUUCUCCGAGGAAGUGCUUUGGUCAUUUCCUGCAAUUGGUUGUUGAUAUCCUCGUUGGUCGCAAGAGUAUUCUCAAAAAAUUUAUCAUCCUCCUUAGUCCGAAAGAGGUUAUUGCAUGUCCGAUCGAUGUUCGUUUUCUUUUGGAUCAACAAGGAAAGCUUUAACAUGAAAAAGGUAAGCUCAACAAGAGGAUUAAGAAAACGGAGGAGAGUCAAUAUAUGACCAAAAACUACCAUAAAUAUCGGGCAUCUAAAAUAAGAUUUUUUGUACCCUCUAACACUUAGUAAUAAAAAACAAUCGCGGCAACACGCAUUCUUUUAAUCAGUUAUGGAUACUAAGAAAAGUAAUGAGGGACUAGUAAAAGGAACAAACAUGAAGAUACAUUUGAUACACUACUAGAGAAGUCCCCAGAGAUACGAAGCAUAUUAUGAGAGCAUUUGCAUUCUUUACCUUUUCUAUCGAACUGAAGGUUUUGUAAUAAGAAAAAAGAGUACAAAUAAAAAAACUAUUCAUCUCAAGAUAUGAAAAAAAUAUAUCAUUGAGUAUAUACUUUUGUUCUUGUUAAUGAUGCAAACAAAAAAACAUCUAUGGCCUUGUACCACAUAAUGGGAAAGAAAUCUUGUCAAUCCAACAUUUGUUAUCAAAAUAGAAGGAAAAACUCAUAUUCCCUUGUAACACAAUCUAACCACUUAAAACUAGGGACUGUGCUAAGACAAAAUAUAUCUUGGACAAGAAAUCAAAAGGAAAGCUAUACAAAUUCAUGUUUUUCCUUUUUAAGAAACAUUGAAUUCUCUAUACAUUAACUUUCAACAAUGGAAACCAUGUUAAAGAAGAGUCCCUAGAAAAUGUUGACACAAUUUUCUCUCCUGAGAUAGAAACAAGCAGAAUCUGAUGAUAUUCAAGUAGGUCAGUAUCACUUUGCAUCUCUUCAGAAUCUACACCAAAAACAACAUAUAAAUCAACCAUUUGUGAUUGAAUACACAUUCUCUUGUGUCGUCAUUACCUUUAUACAUCAUGAAAUAACAAAUUAUUGAUCAUGUGAAUGGAAGAUUUACAAAACCAACAAAUAACAACAUACAUAGUGUAAUCUCACAAGUGAGUCUGGGGAUGGUAGAGUGUACGUAGACAUUACCCCUACCUUGACAGGUAGAGAGACUAAUUCUGAUGCACACUUGGCUCAAAGAAAACCAUAUAAAGCGGAUCGAGAAAUAGAAGAUUUACAAAACCAACAACAACUUCAUAUCCAGCGAAAUCCCACAAGUGAGGUAUGGGGAGGGUAGAGUGUCUAUAGACCUUUACCCUACCUUGGGAGGCAGAGAGGUCAUUUCUCAUUGACCCUCAACUCAAAGAAAAGCAUAUCAAAUCGAAAAAGGAAAUUUUACCUAACCAUGACAAAACAAUUUAAAGGGAAAGCCAUGAAAGAUCUUGCUUUUUCCCUUCAAAUAACUAAUUAUAUCUCUAAAAAAUAUCUUUCCUAAACACAAAACAUGUUAACGAAGAGUACCAAAAAUGAUAGCACAACUAGUAAAAUCUGAUGAUCACAAAGCACAGUCAAAGCAAAAUUCUAAGUGACUCAAUCUACAGUUAUAAGUUGUAUCACCUAUAAAAACAAGCAUUCAACCAAAAAGGAAUCAAUCAAUAAUUUCAAGUAUAUUUAUGUGUGUGAUUCCUCUUUGGUUGAAUUCUUAUUUCCAUAGGUGAUGCAACUUAUAAUUGUAGAUUGAUUCAAUUAGAAGUUUGCUUUGAUCGGUGCUUUGUGAUCAUCAAGUUCUGUUAGUUGUGCUGACAUUUUUUGGUACUCUUCUUUAACAUGCUUUGUGGUUAGGAAAGUUAAUUUUUAGAGAUUUGAUUAGUUCUUUGAAGGGAAAAAGUAAGAUCUUUCAUGUCUUUCCCUUUAAGAUAUUUUAGCAUGGUUCAGUAAAGCUUUCCUUUUUCGAUAUGCUUUGAUAUGUUUUUCCUUGAGUUGAGGGUCAGUCAGAAAUGACCUCUCUACCUCCCAAAGUAGGGUAAGGUCUAUAGACACUAUACCCCUACCCAUACCUCACUUGUGGGAUUUUACUAGAUAUGAUGUUGUUGUUAGUUUUCUAAAUCUUCCCUUUCUUGGAUCUAUUUUAUAUAUUUUUCUUUGAGCCAAGUGUGUAUCAGAAAUAGCCUCUCUACCCCUCAAGUUAGUGUUAAGGUCUACGUACACUCUACCCUCCCUGACUCACUUGUGGGAUUACACUUGGUAUGUUGUUGUUUGUUGGUUUUGUAAAUCUUCCAUUCAAAUGAUCAAUAAUUUGCUAUUUCAUUAUGUAUAGAGGUAAUGACGACACAAGAGAAUAUGCACUUAAUCAUAUAUGGUAGAUUUAUAUAUUGUUUUUGGUGUAGAUUCCGGCGAGAUGUAAAGUGAUACUAACCUACUUGAAUAUCAUGAGAUUCAUCUUGUUUCUAUCUUAGCAGAGAAAAAUUGUGUCAACAUAUAUGGUAGAUUUAACAUGGUUUCCAUGGUUGAAAGUAAAUGUAUAGAGAUUUGAAUUUCUCAAAAAGGAAAAACAAGAUAUUUUUAUAGCUUUCCUUUUGAUUUCUUGACAAAAUGACGUAGUAUAGGAACUAAUUAAUUAGGAAAAGACCCAACUCACCUUGAAAUUUAAGUGACAAGCGACCACUAAUGGACCCAGUCGACGGACCGUGGUCUGACCCACGACCCGUCUUGGUGGAUCGUCAUUUGGUCAUCAGAGACUCUAAUUUGGGGCUUUGAACCACAGACCUAGAUAACGAAUCGUGGUAUGACCUAUGGUCCAUAGGCCUGGCCAUAGUUAUUGGCUCUCAGACCAUAGCUAGGCAGGCUAUCCACGGACCACACCUAUCGUCCGUGGUCCUAUCGACAGUCCGUGGGUGGCCGGCGUGGUUUGGCACCUGCAACAUCUAGAAAGCUGCUAUUUGGUCUUUUUGAAUACGAGGUGUUACAACUUGUGACCCAAAUCAGUGGAAUUUGCUUGUUGACUAGAGUUUCACUUCCUCAGAAACUCUCUAUGCUUUUUGACUAUUUUAUGAAAUCUGAUAGUAAGAUAGGCCAUUUCCUCAUAAUAUUUUGAUAGGUCACUUGGUGAUGGUUUUAGUUCCAAGAACUUGCCUUUCCUUCAGUCCUUUUUGGAAUUUUUUUGUUGCUUUUUUAGUUCGUAUAUUUGAAGAUUCUCAAUCAACUCGUCCAUGGUAAGAGUCUUCAGGUUCCUAGCUUCAGUAAUAGCAUUUACUUUGCUUUACCAUGACUUGGGAAGGACUUGGUGAAUUUUACGAACCUUCUUGCUUGGAUGAAUAGUUUCAUUAAGACAUCGGAGCUCAUUGGUGAUGGAAGUGAAACUGGUGUGCAUCUCAUUAAUGUUCUCUCCUUCUUUCAUGUUUAACAUUUCAUAUUGAGUAGUGAGCAUGUCCAUCUUUUAUUCUUUCACCUGGAUGUUUCCUUCAUGGGUUAUAUUCAGACAGUCCUAGAUCUCUUUGGUUGUUUCAUAUGCUGAGAUCCUGUUGUAUUCAUGAACACCAAUUCCACAAACCAGUAUAUUCUUGGCCUAAUGGUUCUUUUGUUAUUUUCUUUCUUCUAGCUUCGUCAUAUUCUCUUUUGUUUUUAGGAACCACCCUAGUUAUCUCUCAUUCAUUGAUAUCCUUAAUGGGAACAUGAGGUCCAUCAAAAGUUAUUUUCUAUAGUUCAUUGUCAUCUUUUAUAGUAUAAUCAUGCAUUCUAGUCUUCCACUACAUGUAGUACUGUCUAUUAAAUCGAGGGAGACAUGUAGUAGAUUGUCCUUCUUCUAAGCUUGGUGGGGCUGCCAUCAUUGCAAGAUCCUUUCUUGAUGUUAUUAAGAUAUAAAGUACCGCUCUAAUACCAAUUUAUGAGAUGUGAUAUUCCACUGUGUAAUAAGGGGCAACGUUGAGGAUACACUGGUAAUGCAAUAGAAGAGACUAAACUAUAAAGUAAACACAACAGGGAGUUUUAUGUGUAAACCUUCUUGCUCAAGCGAGAAAAACAGCAACAUGUCACAAGAUUUUUUAACUGUUUUCACUAUUUUCAAGCAACAAGUGUAUACAGGCUCCAAAUGCAUAUACAAAGAUUAAACUCUUAGUCUCCCAACCUAUAAUAACCAUAUUACAAUAAGAGCCAAAGUAAUACAUCUAUUGCCCACUAUAUUAACUAACUCUAAUUAAUAGAGACUUCAAUCACACACCACAAAAUUACCUCUAAUUAUGUUCAUGUGUUAACUUACCACACACUGAAUGUGUUCCUUUAUACAUUUGGAACAAAUCUUACAAGUUUACCACAUCACAAGCAUUUCGUAACAAACAACCAAAUGAUGCACUUGAUAACUCUAUCAGGUCCCUUGAGGUGUGUGCUGAAAGCUUGAGUUCUUCAAAGACAAAGUUUACACUUGUUGUUUUCUUUGAAUGUUUUGAGUAGGUUGUUUCAUGUCACUGAAGAUAUAUUAUCCUUUGAAAAAUACAACCUAGUGUCUUCUGAUUGGUUGAGUACAAUUGUCUCGUUCCUUGUGCCCACAAACUGUGUUAGAAGUGACUACUUUUACCAUUAUUCACCAACUGACUUCAUAAACGUGAUCAACUGUGGGGCCAGAUUGCAUGUUUGUGAGCAUCGUCAAAUAUUCUAAUACUAACAGUUUAACAUACCCAAAAAAUCUUGCAACACUAUUGACCAAAUUCCACAGGACUUCAUUUGGGGAUCUUCUUCCCACAAGAGAAAGCUCCAUUACAUUUCUUGGGAAAAAGUGAAAUCCCCUAUAGAAAAUGGUGGCCUGGGCUUAAUAUCUUCGGAAGAAAAAAACAAAACGCUUCUCACCUGGUUAAUUACUUUCCGUUCUCUUGGAUCUUAAAACUCAACACUUUGGCAAAAAUAAAAAUGUUCAUGUGGUUGUGUUCCCAAGAUCGAGUCCCAACUAGCGCUUACCUUCACCACAUUGGCAUCGAUACUGACCCUCCGUGUCCUAUAUGUCACCUCAAUAGCGAAUCAAUUACCCACAUCUUCGUACAAUGUAAUAUAGCUAAAAAAUUCUAGUACGCCUUAGGCAUUAAUAUUUCCCAGUUACCUCCCCAAUAUGACCACAAUUACAUGCCCUCAAAAGGUUGAAACCUCCAGACACUGACCACCCUUACCACUGGAUAGAUUGAUUUCUCUUUGCAUUAUGGAAUAUAUUGUUAAACAUGAAUGAUAAUAUCCAUAAUGACGAUUCGGCCUUUCCAUUGGAAUUUGUAGUAAGGAACAGAACCACGGAACACAUGCAACAUACUCAUACCCUUAUUCACCAUAUCGCCACCACCACCAUUCAUAUUCAGUGGUUACUGCCCCUGAACGGUUCAUACAAAAUAAAAACUGAUGGUUCCUUCUCUAAGAACAAAAGAAGACGCGAACUUGUGGUCUCAUAACUGAUGUAUGUGGUAACUGGAUUGGGGGAUUCUACAAAGGGUGAUACGGGCAUAAUAAUAUCAUGACAGAGCUGGAAGCUUUUGUCACUGGCCUAAAUAUGGUCGAUGCUCAUAAUCUCCUACCCUUAGAAACUGAAACGGACAUGACUGACAUCUUAGAAUACUUAGAACAUCCUCAAGCAACUUAUAAUUGUAUAACUGCAAUUUGCAGGUUAACUAUGAAGAAGUUGGCGAGUCAAGUGGUCCACCAUAGCUUUUGCCAAGCUAAAAAAGUAGCAAACGUUUUUUGAAGAUUAGGUUCCAAGCUAAUAAUGACCAAAAUGCCACACUUUUUGUUAACUCCUCCUGAAGCUGUAGAAGCAAGCCUCAUCAAAGCAUACCAAGUUGGAGCUCUAUCCACUAAACUAGUAGUAUGGUCUACAUGUAAUAAGUUAGCCCGUUUUGGGAAUCUAUCUGUAAUCUCUAGUACUAGUAGCAACAAUGUAACUUCCGCUUAACUAUAUAUAAUAUAUCCAUUUUUUAUCAAAAAAUAUAUAUCAUUUAUAUAUUCAUUGAUGGAAAUAAUAUUGAAGUUUCAUUUUAUUGGUUUCCUUAUAUGAAUUUUUUGUUUAAGAGAAUGAAAACUCAAUUAAGCUUUUCUCUAAUUCUUUUGUUUUCCUUCAUUGUUUGAACAGUCUAUACUGCCUCAAUUUUCUCAAUAAUUUCAGCCCAUCAAUUUUUCAAAAUUAGAAAAAGAAAAAGAUAUUAUUCCCUCGGUCUCAAUUUAUAGAGCACAUUUACAUUUCCAGUCUUCAUACACAAUGCUAUUUUAAAUAUUUUUUUGUCUCUACUAGUGUAGAACCUGUAGAAAACAAUUUUAUUUACCAUUUUCUGGUAAAUAAGAAUGCACAACAGUCAGCAGCUAGCUGCAACAAACUUAUAUCUAAACUGCAAUUUAAGAUGAUAGAACAAACUUGUUAAAAAUGUAUAUAAUACAAUUUAGUGUGCGAUAGUUGAAAGAAGAAACACAAUAUUACUAAUUUAAAAAACAAAUUGUGUCAAAGGAAUUAGACUCAUUCAUGCUUACACAUCCAAAAAAGUGAGAAACUUACAUUAAUUUGGGUUCUCCAACUAGUGGCGGAUCCAGGAUUUUCAUUAAGGGGGUUCGAAAAAAAAGAGCAGUGCUUAAGAUUUGAGGUUUGAAUCCCUCAACAACUAAACCAACCUCUAAUCUUAUAUUCAGGACAUUCAAAAUAAAUAUAUAAACAUAAAAAUUCUUUAAAAUACCUUAAAUAUACAACAUAAUGCAUCUGCGGUAUGUUAUUUUCACACCAUUGUUUCCUCAUUAGAUUGCAAAAAUGUAGACCAGAUCCAGGCAAUUUUUAAUUCAAUCAUAACAAACCGAAUGGCUUCUCUCCAUCUCACAUGCCCUAGUAUGACUGAUCCAAUAGUCCUCACUUAAACUAGUCUUCCUCAAUAGUUUGCUUUGAAAUUUCAGUCUUUUAGAAAG
rnacentral:lncRNA from 1 species